rnacentral:rRNA from 1 species
GUUCCCAUUCCGAACACGGCCGUGAAACGCCCCAGCGCCAAUGGUACUCCGUCUUAAGACGCGGGAGAGUAGGUCGCUGCCAGGU